CAACCUGUCCAACUUUCUCUGCUCUAGUUAGUCAGCUCCUAGCGCUGUGUAGGAAGGUUUGGCAAUGCGAAACUAGUCAGCUCGAAAAGUGGCAAGUAGACAAAGUUUAACCAUCAGAAGUUAUGUUAGUUAAGCUGUUUUGCUGCGGUGAAAUAACUGAAGUAAAAAACGUCACGACUUCCUAUAACGUUGGGAUGGAAGGACAGCAUCGUCUGUCCAGAGACAAAAACUAUGUAUACGUUAGCCUAUGUGAUUAAAGAUGGAUAGCUGAGAAAGGUAUAGCUAGCAGUUAUAGAGAAAAUGUUUCACUGUUCCCGAAAGUGGAAAAGUUCAGUAUCUGUUUAAAUGGCGGCGACUUAAAACACAAUGAAGAACUACAAAUCGCUCUCGGAGAACAUACGUUACCUGGACAAGAAACACAAAGGGGCCGGAUAUGGCUGGAUGCUAAUACCAACACCGGGUUAUAUCAUGGAUGCUAGCACGUAGCAGGAACACAGUUAGAUGAUUAUACAAAGGUAUGAAUCACGUGUAAGGAUUAAUGCUCUCCUUUGAGGACCCUUCUUUUUGGCCAGCUCAAAGGACUUAAGGCCGCCUGGCAGAAAUGGCAGUCCAAGCACCGAUGUAUUUGUCACAAGUAAUUAAUUUUUCUCCCAUAAAAACGCCCACUGGGAUGAUGGAAAAGAUGGCUGUUUUGCUCAGGGAAUAAAGAGGAUCUGCUUGGUGACUCAGUCCAGAAUUUUGAACACUCUCUACUUCUUCCCUUGCACAAGACACAUCAGAAGACAUCUUGGAACCCCCUUCCCAACACCUGUCCACCGCUCUGCCUUCCCUCCCUAGUGCUUGGGUUGGAUUUUGAAUCGCUUUUUUCACAGUUUAUUUCAAAUUGUCAUUUCAUGGAGUUAAAUCUCCAGGGGGGGGGGGGCAAUGGGUAAAUUCCAUCACACAGAGUGAUAUGAAAAGCCACAGACCUUGUG